GGGGUCAGAGAGGCUAAGUGAUUUUCCCAAAGACAUAGUCUGUCAGUGUUUGGAUUAGAACCCAGGUCUGUGUGACAUUAUUGUUCUUAUGCCCUAAAUUGUACUCCUUUGACAUCCUCUUUAAAAAAAAAAAAAGCCUCUUUGGAGUUUGGCAUCAAAGGAGGAACCUUCUAUUCUGCUGAGUAUUUGGUUAAGAGGCCUGAAGGAAUACCAGAAAGUUUAGUGGGAUUGUGUGCAUAUGUGUUACCAGUGGGGUUGCUGGGUGUAAACCAUUGCUUGAAGCAGAGAUAUCAACCUCUCCUUCCUCUUUUCCUCAAUUGAUCAAUCACUAGGAAUCUUGUGUCUGCUCUUGGUUAAAACUAGCAUUUUGGAGGUUUUGGAAGCGGGCCAGCAGUGAUGAAUGAGUAUGGCCCAGUCAGUGUCCAGAUCCAUCUGGGGUUCCCUUGGGACAGGCCAACUUGAGUUUUCUGGGCCAGAUGCUUGGGAAACCUCCAACUUGGCUUUGGGGGUACACAAAACCAAAAUAAAUGAAGUGGAAUAAAAAAAGCUGGAGGCACCCCAGCAUGCCCUAUUUACAAAGUGCUUUAGUUCCUUUUGGGUUGUAUUUGAUUUUCUCCUUCACUGAGAAAUGGGGAGACAUCACAAUGACUUAUGUGCCAAAGAGAGGACUCCCAACCAUCCUUCAGCCUCCCUCACCCCCUCGGCCCCUUUUGUGUGACAGGAUGCCCUCAAUUACUCUCUUUAGGGGGGGGUCCCAGUCAGAAGAAGAUGGAGCCAACCAUCUGUUACCGACUCCAGUGAGCAAUUUAAUUUUCUCUUGUUCCCAACAAGGAGGAUUUUAUGAAGAAAAUGGUAUUGGCAGAGAACAGUCAAAGAGGAAGGACAUCAUCCAAGGCAUGCAAGACAGAAAAUGAUGUAAUUCUGGUAUGAUGACUCAUAUAAGGCCCACAAUAUAUUAAACACCUACUUUGUGUUCACUAUUUUGUGGCCACUAGGAGACCAGUGUGAGUGUUAGGAAGAAUUGAGGGAAAUAAAGAACUAUCAGCAGAAUUUAAAAAUCUAGGU
rnacentral:lncRNA from 12 species